UUUUCUUCGACAUUACGUGAAUCCCCUUUGGGGUUUACGCGGAGAAGUUACCCUUUGCACUGAGAAGUUACCCUAUGUUUGCUUCCUGUCCUGCGUCUUUAAACGCAAGCUACAGUACUCCCAGCUGUCUGUGAAUACUUGGAAAAUGUUGCGGUUUCUCUUGCUGUGCUUGAUUUUCGCAACGUCAGAUGCUGACUAUGAAGACUACAGCCCUAUGUACGAGCAGACUGAAGGAUCCGGGGGUAUAAUUGAGGAAGACGACGAGGAAUUGCCCGGGCCAGUUAGUUAUAAAUAUGAUACGGGAACUUGGUCGGAAUCUUCAAAUGGCAGUAAACAAACACAAGAAGGGUCCUCCAUGAUAAUCAUCAUAGCAGCAGUGAGUGUGGUUGCCCUGGCCAUCGCGGCCGUCGUAGCUAUUUUUCUCUUCAAACGUCACUUGCAAAGCCGGGAACAAGGGUAAGAACUGGUCUCAUUUAAUUAUGAAUGACGCAUGCUUAUAGGAAUACAAGACUAAUGGGGCAUAG
ensembl:lncRNA